GCGCUCACUUUGGCAGCAUAUAUACUAAAAUUGGAACAAUACAGAGAUUAGCAUGGCCCCUGUGUAAGGAUGAAUUCUCCUCUUCUAUAGGUGGGAAGACUAACA